rnacentral:lncRNA from 1 species
CACAGAUUUCUCUGCAGCAUGAGGGCACUGUGGGAUGAUAGGGGAAGGGGUAGCAUUGACAGUUGAAGACUGUCUUUCUUUCCCUCUCCAGUGCCUCUUUGAAAAAUAUGAAGUCAAAACCAGGACUAUGGUACCAUUGUUCCCUUCCAAUUCCUUCCUUGUGUAGUCCAUCACUGAAGAAAAGAAGUACUGGAUAUCAAACUAAUUUGCAUAUCUUAACAUGUCUAGAGUCCUAGGCCACGGGGUGUGAGGAAGUUGCUAAAAGAAAG